UUCAAAAACUAAGCAGACAUGUUAACAAUGGAGUCUAUUUCAUUAAAAAAAAUUAAUAUACUACGAUAUUGAGAGGAACUGCCCAGGUCUGAGCAAAGGAUGGGAAGGUUAAAACUAGCAAAUUGGUAUUCUUUUCGCCAUUGAAUAAUAAGUAAGAGAGUAGCUAAAAAAAUGUACAAUCCAAUCCAUCGUCAAAAUUCCAAACCAAUAUCUCGCUACUAUGAGUACAUGCAAUAAUACGUCUGUGGUCAAACUGCAGACCGAACACACGAGAAUUUCUACUAUUAUGCAAUACACAGUGUUGCUCGCCAGUGUUGAAAUUCCAAAUUCGAACAGUGCCAUCGUAACCGCCUGAAACAAUUUUUUCAUCAUUAAAUCGCACAGUGCGGAUCAAAUCUUCGUGACCUUGAAGCAUACGAAGCAGUUUACCGGAACUUGCUUCAAAUAUCCUAAUUGUAAGGUCCGAAGAGCCUGAAACAAUAAAUUUACCAUUAUAUUGAGCACAUGCUAUUCCACGUUGAUGAGCAUGAAUAAUGCGAAUGCAAUGGCCAGUAGUUAUGUCCCAAGUGCGUAGAGUGCGAUCGCUGCUUGCUGUGACAAUUAAUCCAGUUUUCGAAGAAUAUUGUACAGAAUUUACAGAAGCAAGAUGACCACGCAAAACAUGCAUACAAGCUUCAGCAGGGGAGGUGGCAUCUAACCUCCAUACUCGAGCUGUGUGGUCCCUUGAAGAAGAUAUAAUGUAAUUUUCGGAUACAACGACACCUAGCACAUUAUCUGUAUGUCCGAAAUAAACUUUUAAUGGGCGUCGGUUUUGCCAAUCCCAUAUAAUAAUUGUUGAAUCAGAAGAACCAGAAACAAGAAGAUUUCUUCGUCUACAAAAGUCCAAACACAGGACGCUUCCAGAAUGGCCGUAUAAUUUAUAAAGAAUAAAUCGAGAAUUUACAUCCCACACACUUACUGUUCGAUCUUUAGACCCGCUGACCAUGAUUUCGUCAUCAUAUUGAACACAAUAAACACUAUCCAAUGUAGCACGAAAAUCCUGGUCUGCAGGGAAGCGUAUAGAGGGGUUAUUGAAUGUAGAUACUAGAAAUCUACCAUGUCUCCAAUUACUAUCCAAAUGGGCGUGUUCUUUGUAUAGAUAGGACCAGUUUAACAAGGGCCGGCCGUUGGAGUCGAAGAUAAACUGUUGCGGUAGAAACAUUGUACCAUAGGGUCCUAUGAUAUUUUGCUGCUUUAGAAAAUUUUCGAAUCUUGGUUGAGGAAACUUGUGUGUCCUUCUCCAAGCUUCAAAUUCAUUUAGCACAUUUUCAUUUACAAACCAACCCUUUUGCAUAUAUAAAGCCUUCCAAAUUCCAGGAUCUUCCAAUAGACGCUUCCAGCGCUUUGACAUAAGCUUGCACUUACAUAGAUCAAGCUGAUCUAAGUAACUAAACACCCUCAAACUAACCUCUUCAGGAAAUACCUACAUUAACGGAUAUUAGUUAUAUUAUACAGGGAAUUGAAAACUUCAUACUUCUGUGAAAUCUGUAAAUAACAGAGAACGAACGUGAUUGUAAACAGCAACUACCCCUUCUUUGGAUAAGGAAGCCAACAGAUCACGAAUUAAGUCUUCUUUAUAUUAGUAAAAUGAAAAGAGUACAAAUUAAAAAAGAAGUAAAGCCGUGAGCUUCAAAAAAAACAUACCAAUUCUAUUAUUUUCAUGAGACAGCGGAUUUAGGCAAGGAACCGGACUUGAGGUACUGAAAUCACUGCAAGAUGUCAAAUCUGACACCUUGCUAACCACAUUUUUGCCAUUGUCGUCCUGGUUCAUUCCUAAAGUUUUCAAGAUCCCAAGCUAUUACAUAUGGUAGUCAUACGACACGGGGCAUAUCUGUAUCAAACUGAAAUGGGCGUAGACCUUUGUUCAAGUCAGCAGGCCUUUAUAAUAAACUAUCAAUUCA